rnacentral:lncRNA from 1 species
GAACUUCAUCUAUGUUGCUUACCCCCACAACUCCAACAAGAUGUAGCCUACGAUUCCGUAAGUAAACCAAGUUCGAUGCGAUUUGAUGUUGUCAAAUCAAAAUUUGACACAAUGGAGGGUUAGGAACGUAUCACAAUUAAACAAAUGAAAUUUCCCAAAUCAAUUGAAGCAUAACUCUCUUACCAAAAAACUUACCCACCGACGCAGCCAAUGUUGAAAAGACAAAAGACUGAUUAAGGAAAAAAUCAACGAAAAAUAGAGGAUGAGGGGGGAGUUUUGGUAUAAACAAGGAGAAGUAAUCGUCAACAGAGAAGAAAAGGGAGAUUGUAGUCAAGAGAAAACGAAACAAAAGAUGUGGG